rnacentral:rRNA from 1 species
GCACAACCCCAGUUAGCCCACAACAUCUUGCUUAGCCACACCCCCAAGGGUCCUCAGCAGUAAUAAAUAUUAAGCAAUAAGUGAAAACUUGACUCAGUUAAUAUCAAGAAGAGCCGGUUAAAUUCGUGCCAGCCACCGCGGUUAUACGAAAGGCUCAAGUUGACAAACAUCGGCGUAAAGAGUGGUUAAUAGAAUUUUAAACUAAAGCCGAACGCCAUCAAGACUGUUAUACGUCCCCGAAGGCGGGAAGCCCCCCAACGAAAGUGGCUUUAAACACUAUUGAAUCCACGAAAGCUAGGGAACAAACUGGGAUUAGAUACCCCACUAUGCCUAGCCCUAAACACAAAUAGCCCCUCACCAACUAUUCGCCCGGGAACAACGAGCCCCAGCUUAAAACCCAAAGGACUUGGCGGUGCUUUAGACCCCCCUAGAGGAGCCUGUCCUAGAACCGAUACUCCCCGUUUAACCUCACCCUCUCUUGUUCAUUCCC